rnacentral:lncRNA from 1 species
GGAGAAUUCGGACCAGCUCAGCAUGCAAGGACAAUAGGACAGGCGUUUGCUCUGUAAAUAGCACACAGCAUGAUUACUCUUAUAGAAACUGACUUUGUAUUAAGAGAAAAAUGAUGACUUUUUGUAGUUGCAAAUCUGUGAGCUUGAAAAAAUAGAAUUUCACCUCAACACCACAAUAUUUACACUGGAAUUUUGUCCCAGUUAAAAUCUAAAGUACCCACAAAUUUCAUGACUG